rnacentral:rRNA from 1 species
UGAAUACGUUCCCGGGUCUUGUACUCACCGCCCGUCACACCAUGGGAGUGGGUUGCAAAAGAAGUAGGUAGCUUAACCUUCGGGAGGGCGCUUACCACUUUGUGAUUCAUGACUGGGGUGAAGUCGUAACAAGGUAACCGUAGGGGAACCUGCGGUUGGAUCACCUCAUUACCUUAAAGAAGC